ACUCCUACUGGAGGCAGCAGUGGGGAAUUUUCCGCAAUGGGCGCAAGCCUGACGGAGCAACGCCGCGUGAGGGAUGAAGGCCUCUGGGCUGUAAACCUCUUUUAUCAAGGAAGAAGAUCUGACGGUACUUGAUGAAUAAGCCACGGCUAAUUCCGUGCCAGCAGCCGCGGUAAUAC
rnacentral:rRNA from 1 species